AGAACGAACGCUGGCGGCAUGCCUAAUACAUGCAAGUCGAACGAAUGCCCUUCGGGGUGUUAGUGGCGCACGGGUGCGUAACGCGUGGGAAUCUGCCCUUGGGUUCGGAAUAACAGUUAGAAAUGACUGCUAAUACCGGAUGAUGACGUAAGUCCAAAGAUUUAUCGCCCAGGGAUGAGCCCGCGUAGGAUUAGCUAGUUGGUGGGGUAAAGGCCUACCAAGGCGACGAUCCUUAGCUGGUCUGAGAGGAUGAUCAGCCACACUGGGACUGAGACACGGCCCAGACUCCUACGGGAGGCAGCAGUAGGGAAUAUGGACAAUGGGCGAAAGCCUGAUCCAGCAAUGCCGCGUGAGUGAUGAAGGCCUUAGGGUUGUAAAGCUCUUUUACCCGAGAUGAUAAUGACAGUAUCGGAAGAAGUAAGCCCGGCUAAACUCCGUGCCAGCAGCCGC
rnacentral:rRNA from 1 species